rnacentral:rRNA from 1 species
UUGGGUUUAAGGGUCCGUAGGCGGAUGAUUAAGUCAGGGGUGAAAGUUUGCAGCUCAACUGUAAAAUUGCCUUUGAUACUGGUUAUCUUGAGUUGUAUUGAAGUAGGCGGAAUAUGUAGUGUAGCGGUGAAAUGCAUAGAUAUUACAUAGAACACCAAUUGCGAAGGCAGCUUACUAAGUACUAACUGACGCUGAUGGACGAAAGCGUGGGUAGCGAACAGGAUUAGAUACCCUGGUAGUCCACGCCGUAAACGAUGGAUACUAGCUGUUCGGGGCCUUGAGUUCUGAGCGGCUAAGCGAAAGUGAUAAGUAUCCCACCUGGGGAGUACGUUCGCAAGAAUGAAACUCAAAGGAAUUGACGGGGGCCCGCACAAGCGGUGGAGCAUGUGGUUUAAUUCGAUGAUACGCGAGGAACUUUACCAGGGCUUAAAUGUAGUCUGACAGCUUUAGAGAUAGAGUUUUCUUCGGACAGAUUACAAGGUGCUGCAUGGUUGUCGUCAGCUCGUGCCGUGAGGUGUCAGGUUAAGUCCUAUAACGAGCGCAACCCCUGUCGUUAGUUGCCAGCAUGUCAUGAUGGGGACUCUAACGAGACUGCCGGUGCAAACCGCGAGGAAGGUGGGGAUGACGUCAAAUCAUCACGGCCCUUACGUCCUGGGCCACACACGUGCUACAAUGG